UGCACAGACGUGACAUUUUA
rnacentral:miRNA from 1 species